GGAGUUUUCAAACAACACUAGCUAGCCAGCUAGCCGUUACACAUUUUUGCUCAGGGAAUUACAGCAAACUUUGCUGAGUUUUGGGCUAGCGGGCUAGCCUGUUGUUAUUAGCCAGCGAUGUCAGCGAGCUCCAAGAGGAGAAGAGCCACUUCACCCUCCAGCAGCAUCAGUGGAGGAGGCGACCUCGACGAUGCCUCCUCUACACCUGGAAGUGGCAGAAAAAGAAGAAGAAUCUCAAAUGUUCCUCCUGUAGAUACGAUUGCUGUAUGCCAUGAGCUGUUCAACGCUGUCAGGGACCACAAGGAUGACCAGGGGAGGCAACUUUGUGAAGUUUUCCUAAGGGUACCAAAG